CCAAUAGCGUAUAUUAAAGUUGUUGCAGUUAAAAAGCUCGUAGUUGAAUUUCGGGGUUCUUCCGUUGGUCAGGCUAACAAGUCUGAACUAACGUGUAGAAUCUCUACCUUCUGGGGAACCAUCAUGUUAUUAAUUUAGCGUGGUGGGAAACCAGGACCUUUACCUUGAAAAAAUUAGAGUGUUCAAAGCAGGCUUACGUCUGAAUACAUUAGCAUGGAAUAAUAAAAUAGGACGGUGGUCCUUUUUUGUUGGUUUCUGAAUCACCGUAAUGAUUAAUAGGGAUAGUUGGGGGCAUUAGUAUUCAAUUGUCAGAGGUGAAAUUCUUGGAUUUAUUGAAGACUAACUUCUGCGAAAGCAUUUGCCAAGGAUGUUUUCAUUAAUCAAGAACGAAAGUUAGGGGAUCGAAGACGAUCAGAUACCGUCGUAGUCUUAACCAUAAACUAUGCUGACUAGGGAUCAGAUGAUGUUAUUUUUUAAUAACUCAUUCGGCGCCUUACG
rnacentral:misc_RNA from 1 species